AAGGGUAUAGCUCAGUGGUAGAGCACAUACUUGGUGUGCAUGAGGUCCUUGGUUCAACCUCCAGUGCCUCCC
rnacentral:tRNA from 1 species